UACGAAGGGGGCUAGCGUUGCUCGGAAUCACUGGGCGUAAAGCGCACGUAGGCGGCUUUCUAAGUCAGGGGUGAAAUCCUGGAGCUCAACUCCAGAACUGCCUUUGAUACUGGAGAGCUUGAGUCCGGAAGAGGUGAGUGGAACUCCGAGUGUAGAGGUGAAAUUCGUAGAUAUUCGGAAGAACACCAGUGACGAAGGCGGCUCACUGGUCCGGUACUGACGCUGAGGUGCGAAAGCGUGGGGAGCAAACAGG
rnacentral:rRNA from 1 species